UACGUAGGGGGCAAGCGUUAUCCGGAUUUACUGGGUGUAAAGGGAGCGUAGACGGCGAUGCAAGCCAGAUGUGAAAGCCCGGGGCUCAACCCCGGGACUGCAUUUGAACUGUAUAGCUAGAGUGUCGGAGAGGCAGGCGGAAUUCCUAGUGUAGCGGUGAAAUGCGUAGAUAUUAGGAGGAACACCAGUGGCGAAGGCGGCCUGCUGGACGAUGACUGACGUUGAGGCUCGAAAGCGUGGGGAGCAAACAGG
rnacentral:rRNA from 1 species